rnacentral:rRNA from 1 species
UACGAAGGGGGCAAGCGUUGUUCGGAUUUACUGGGCGUAAAGCGUACGUAGGCGGAUGAUUAAGUCAGGGGUGAAAUCCCGGGGCUCAACCUCGGAACUGCCUUUGAUACUGGUCAUCUUGAGUCCGGGAGAGGUGAGUGGAACUCCUAGUGUAGAGGUGAAAUUCGUAGAUAUUAGGAAGAACACCAGUGGCGAAGGCGGCUCACUGGCCCGGAACUGACGCUGAGGUACGAAAGCGUGGGGAGCAAACAGG